UGGGGAAUAUUGCACAAUGGGCGAAAGCCUGAUGCAGCGACGCCGCGUGAGUGAAGAAGUAUUUCGGUAUGUAAAGCUCUAUCAGCAGGGAAGAAAAUGACGGUACCUGACUAAGAAGCCCCGGCUAACUACGUGCCAGCAGCCGCGGUAAUACGUAGGGGGCAAGCGUUAUCCGGAUUUACUGGGUGUAAAGGGAGCGUAGACGGCGAAGCAAGUCUGAAGUGAAAACCCAGGGCUCAACCCUGGGACUGCUUUGGAAACUGUUUUGCUAGAGUGUCGGAGAGGUAAGUGGAAUUCCUGGUGUAGCGGUGAAAUGCGUAGAUAUUAGGAGGAACACCGGUGGCGAAGGCGGCUUACUGGACGAUAACUGACGUUGAGGCUCGAAAGCGUGGGGAGCAAACAGG
rnacentral:rRNA from 1 species